rnacentral:rRNA from 1 species
CAGUAGCCGCGGGAAUACGUAGGGUGCGAGCGUUAAUCGGAAUUACUGGGCGUAAAGCGUGCGCAGGCGGUUAUACAAGACAGAUGUGAAAUCCCCGGGCUCAACCUGGGACCUGCAUUUGUGACUGUAUAGCUAGAGUACGGUAGAGGGGGAUGGAAUUCCGCGUGUAGCAGUGAAAUGCGUAGAUUUGCGGAGGAACACCGAUGGCGAAGGCAAUCCCCUGGACCUGUACUGACGCUCAUGCACGAAAGCGUGGGGAGCAAACAGGAUUAGAUACCCCCGUAGUCCCUGUCUCUUAUAC